UGACCACUGAAAUGUUUCCUUUGCACAGGUU
rnacentral:piRNA from 1 species